rnacentral:rRNA from 1 species
CUACGGGCCGCAGCAGUGGGGAAUAUUGGACAAUGGGGGAAACCCUGAUCCAGCAAUGCCGCGUGUGUGAAGAAGGCCUGCGGGUUGUAAAGCACUUUCGGUUGGGAGGACUGCUUCUAGCACUAAUAUUGUUGGAAGUUGACGUUACCUUCAGAAGAAGCACCGGCUAACUCCGUGCCAGCAGCCGCGGUAAUACGGAGGGUGCAAGCGUUAAUCGGAAUUACUGGGCGUAAAGCGCGCGUAGGCGGCUAGAUCAGUCGGGUGUGAAGGCCCCGGGCUUAACCUGGGAACUGCAUCCGAUACUGUCUAGCUAGAGUACAGGAGAGGAGAGUGGAAUUCCACAUGUAGCGGUGAAAUGCGUAGAUAUGUGGAGGAACACCAAUGGCGAAGGCAGCUCUCUGGCCUGAUACUGACGCUGAGGUGCGAAAGCGUGGGGAACAAACAGGAUUAGAUACCCCUGUAGUC